rnacentral:rRNA from 1 species
GAGAAUCAUUCACAAUGGGGGAAACCCUGAUGGUGCGACGCCGCGUGGGGGAAUGAAGGUCUUCGGAUUGUAAACCCCUGUCAUGUGGGAGCAAAUUAAAAAGAUAGUACCACAAGAGGAAGAGACGGCUAACUCUGUGCCAGCAGCCGCGGUAAAACAGAGGUCUCAAGCGUUGUUCGGAAUCACUGGGCGUAAAGCGUGCGUAGGCUGUUUCGUAAGUCGUGUGUGAAAGGCGCGGGCUCAACCCGCGGACGGCACAUGAUACUGCGAGACUAGAGUAAUGGAGGGGGAACCGGAAUUCUCGGUGUAGCAGUGAAAUGCGUAGAUAUCGAGAGGAACACUCGUGGCGAAGGCGGGUUCCUGGACAUUAACUGACGCUGAGGCACGAAGGCCAGGGGAGCGAAAG